UAAAAUUGCUCGUGCAUAUCCGGAAAUCCAUCCGGUGGAGUAGCGUCACAAUAACAGUUGGCCACCAAAGCUGAAAAAGUGUCAUGUUUAAUUAAGGUGUAUCUGUCGGGAACAGUGUACAGGACCAGAACUUUUUUUAUUGGAUGGAGUAAGUUUAUGGAAUUGUGUCGGUGAAAUCUCGGAAAUGCAUUCCUUGGUAAAACUUUCUUAGCUCUAUGAUGAAGAGGAACACCUCGCAUCAUCAAAUUUAUCGUAACUGUUGAACCAGUUAAAAAGCUGGCUCUAACCAUGGAAAUAAUCGAGUUCGGAAGCUUUCAAAUCCCCGACCAAAUUCAGCAUCCACCAGUCUGGAGUGGUAGACACCACGACCAAGAACAGUAUUUAAAUUUGGACUCCGUAUGUGGACAUAUCUGCCAUGUGAAUAGCACACUUUCAUGACAAUAAUCCGAUAAAAAAAUUCAAACAUCUUCAACCAAUUUUACACGAUUGACGUGCGUCCGUUGGCGUGUAUAAUGUCCAACAAAUCUGUAACAAGGCAGUUCACUUUGCCUUCGGAACCAAAUCUGGCAAGAUUGUCAUCUGCAGUCUUCUUGCUGAUAGCGUGCGAGUCGAAAGCAUCACACAUGCUUACGAGAUGGUCGAAUAGCAGCAUAUCGAUUUCAAACGAACAUGGAUUCAACUGUCUGGGAUGUGAUUGAGCUCCCCAAUCUGUGGGAUGAUGCAGACCAUCUUCCAGUGGGAAGCUUGAAUGUUGAACUAUUACGAGUCGGUCGACUAUUACGAGCUGGUCGUUUUAUCAAAAAGAACGCACUUGAUUGCACUGUUGUGCAAUUAUUAUGGAGAGGUCAAAGCGUCUGAGAACCUGAACAACUUUAUGAAAGCAGGUCUCAUUCUAGUCUGAGUCAGGUGCAACAAACUGAAGGAAACACGUAUUCGAUUGCCACUCUAGUCGGAGCAAUUUUCACUUUCAAAUCAGAACUGUCUGUCGAAUACCGACAGGUACUGUCCGACAUGAAUCCAACCAAGUACUCAAUAUACGGGCUGGUUGUAACCAAAAAUCGUACAUGCUGCAUUUUUGUAGGCUACCCAGCGAAAAGUUUCGAUCAUCUAAGCAUCAGAUCUCCGACGGUCUUACUAUUCUAUCAGCUCACAAUGAAGGAUCCACUGAAAAUUUUGCUCGCAAAUCCAACGCUCCGCAUGACCGACUAUUACGAUUGUGCCGAAGUCAUCAGAUUUCGAGGGAACAGAAACAUAAACACCGUGAAAUCUCGAGGAUUUGGCUGCUACUCCAGCUAACAUGGACGACAGCUACGCUUACGCUUUGAAACUACAACUAAUUAAACUCGGUUCAAGGAUGAGUUACUUCAAGAAACGUUGUCUCCCGAUAGCGAAUGUUCUGUUCAAUCAAUCACAGUUUGUAACUUUGAUUAUCGAUGUCCUGCAUGCUACCAAAAUUAUUUACUUCAUGUUACACAAAAAGCAAAUGCAGUUACUGAAUUAUCGACAGCUGCUCCCAAUUCGCUGCCUAAAAUACUUCAUCUUCGAUUUCACGAACGACCAUUUCCCGGGAUAUUUUGAACAUGUUCAUCUGUCUCUGAAACCAAUCAUGGCACAGGGCAUGGCGAAUGCUCAUCAGAUGCUCAGUGAAACCAACGUUCCGUUGCCCCAGGAAGAAUGUACCUUCUGCGGAGAGCUAAUCCCCGAAAGCAAGCUAACCUGCAGUCAGAAUCAAACGUUCCGCUGCUCCGUUACCAGGAUUCAGAUCCUGCUUGAGGACAAGUUUGUUACGAAAACGGUGUGCGAAACGUACGAUCGCUACUCGUUGGAUGCGGACGAGCUGGCUAAGAUUUUCUACGCCGACGGUGGUCAGCUGAACAUUUACUACGAUUUCUGUAGUAUGCAAUUUUGC